AUGAAUAGAAACGGUCAUGGCUGGAGAGCAGGGAUGCACGGUCCGGCUUCUGAAAGGCCUUGUCUGUCUGAUGACUCAUGCACCCUGGGCAUAUCCCAGACCAAGAGACCCCACACACCGUACCUGACUGCUCAGCUGGGAACAAGACCAGACCUCAAAAGAGGUUUGCAGGAUUCAGAUGAGAAGCCGAGCUCAACCCGGCCUCUGAGGCUGCCUGGGGCACACCUGAGCAGAGAGAAGGAGGAAGUCAGAUGGCCACGAGGGUGCCGGAGUGCGCGUUACACUGCAUUUCCAGCAAACAAUCCACGCCGCAAUGACAGCCUAGACCCCAGAGAACCUGGAGAGGCCGGGGGAGAUGGAAUUGUGGCAAGCCCGCACUGGCAGGGACCACCGGGAGCAGCUGGUCCAGCCUCCUCUUCUUCAAGAGGGACUUUGGACACUAGAACUAGGCCUCUUUCCAAGACACUGAUAGUGAAGGAGUCACGCUCGAGGCUGAGGGCUGGGGCCUCACACCUGUCAUCCCAGCACACUGGGAGGCCGAAGUGGGCAGAUCACCUGAGGUUGGGAGUUCAAGACCAGCCUGGCCAACACGAAGAAACCCCAUCUCUACUAAAAACACAAAAUUAGCUGGGCAGCAUGGCACACACCUGUAAUCCCAGCUACUCAGGAGGCUGAGGCAGGAGAAUCCCUGGAACCCAGUAGGCAGAGGUUGCUGUGAACUGAGAUCGCACCAUUGCACUCCAGCCUGGGCGACAAGAGAGAAACUCUGUCUCAAAAAUAAUAAUAAAAAUAAUAAAACAAAAAUAAAGCUGGAACA
rnacentral:lncRNA from 13 species